GGACACGCCGUGACACCCUCAUUUACAGCACUGAGCGUGUCACUCGGGCGGCACGUGGGCCGGGAGGGGGAGAGUCCAGGAAAGGAGAGAUGAGCUGGCUGUCAGGAUUGCAGCGUCUUCAACUGCAGCAGCUCAGGGGCACCCUGCUACCGGGGAGGACAGGUGUCACCUGCGUGUUGAAGGAAGAGGAGAAGAGACACAGAGACAGGGACACGUGGAGAGGUGAAUGCCGUGUGAUGACAUAGACACACGGAAGGAAGAUGACCAUGUGACAAUGGAACCAGAGAGUGGAGGUACGCAGCCGCCACAGCCAGAGGACACCGAGAACUGCUGGCAGCCGCCACAAGCCAGGAGGGAGGCUGGGGCAGGGCACUCUCUCUGAGUCCCUGGACCCAGCCCUGCUGACACCUGGAUUUUGGACUUUUGGUGUCCAGAACGGGUAGAAUAAAUGUCUGUUGUUUGAAGCCA